rnacentral:rRNA from 1 species
AUUGAACGAUGGCGGCAGGCCUAACAAAUGCAAGUCGAGCGAGAGGCGGAAGGGUGAGUAAUGUAUGGGGAUCUGCCCGAUAGAGGGGGAUAACUACUGGAAACGGUGGAUAAUACCGCAUACUAUCGGAUGAAACCAUAUGGGGUUAGAUAGUAGGUGGGGUAAAGGCUCACCUAGGAGACGAUCUCUAGAUGGUCUGAGAGGAUGAUAAGCCACACUGGGACUGAGACACGGCCCAGACGCCUACGGGAGUCAGCAGUGGGGAAUAUUGCACAAUGGGCGCAAGCCUGAUGCAGCCAUGCCGCGUGUAUGAAGAAGGCCUUAGGGUUGUAAAUUACUUUCAGCGGGGAGGCGUUACCCGCAGAAGAAGCACCGGCUAACUCCGUGCCAGCAGCCGCGGUAAUAC